CCAGUUACUGUCAGCCAGUAGUAUCCUUUCAGUGCCCUUUCAGAAUGUCAUAUUCAGCAAAACCUCUUGAAACCAGGAAAUUAAAAGAGUUGCUGAGAAAUAAUCUUGCCUUUGCCCUUUUCUGAGCAAUGCCCCUGUCCACCUGUAACCCUUAUUUGUACUCUGCUUUUCCAGAUGGUGUGUUUCACUGGUUUCUCUAAGACAGUCUAUUAGCUUCUCUCUCCUUAUGGCAAAACUUACAUUGAUGUGAGCAGUAUUAAAAAGUGAUCAUUUAUAUGACUUCUCUACUCAAACACAGUUAAUGGAGCAUGCCCCAAGUCUAAAGAUUACUCAGUUCAAACUUAGUCUGCAAGCAAAUGAAGAGGAAAAAUGGGAAAACACGAAGAGAAGAGGAUUCUUUCUCCUUACCCUCAUGCAGGCCUCAGUGAUUGCCAUGCUUUCAAUCCCACCACCCAGAAGUUUACUGGAGAGAGAGACAGGAUUACGAUGUAGUUAAACCCACAAAAUCACAAGAGGAAAGUAAAAAAGAGAAAUUUUUGCUACUUUAAGAAAAGUUAUUUCUGCCCUAAAGCCCCUCACUUGAUGCAUUAAGUGCAGGGCACUAAAUGAUCACUGAUUCAUAAAGAAUUAACUCUGUCUUAACCUCCCUUCCUGUGUGCAAAAGAAAGAUCUAUAGAAAUUAUUACUGGAAAGAAAGAAGAGAGAAAAUACCUUUGAAAAGCUAACAUUCCAUAAAAAUAUCUCAAAGGAUAUAAGUCUUGAAGACUUUUCAUUUUGACCCGAGACCUGCAGGUUGUUUUGACUAGGUAAAAAAAAUGAUGACAUGUUCAGGAUUUCUGGAUGCAAACUCUGUUUAUUUACAAUGACUGUACAAAGUCCAGUUUCCCCUCAGAAAAGGAGCUUGGUUUUGUUGCUUACUGGUGCAGGCAUCUUUGAGCCAGCACUAGCUCCAAAUGCAAGGUAACCUAUGUGUCCUAGCUGAAUAUUUAUCCUUUAUAUUUUUGUGUCUCAUUAAAGACAAUAAAUGUGAUUAUUGGAAUGAUUUGGACUAAGGAAGGAUUUAAGUAGAGAGAAGCUUACUCAAAUUCCUGGCUGCCAGUAGUAAUAUGAAAUACCAUCUUCCGUUUUUCACUGUACUCAAAGGCGGUCAGGAAGCCUGGUUCCUAAGGAAGACCAAAGAGAACAUGAGAGGUUUAUUUUAGCUUUAACCUGAAGGUAAAGUGCAAUAUCCCACAUAAAUAUCUUCUCUCCACCCUAGCCUCCUUUACACAGAUAGGGUAUGAAAAGCACCACAGCACUUGUCUGCUGGUUGUAGAGUAUAAAGUAUUAUCCCUUUAGCGUAACAAGCAGAGUAAUUUUCAAAAUUAUCUUGAUGAUGUGGUGAAAAAAAUCUGUUAAGAGAAAUGUUGCACAGCAUUUUGGAGAGGCCAGCAUAAGUUUAAACUAUCAGGAAAGUGACUGGCUUACAAUAAGCUUGUUUGCGGCUUCUUUAAUCUUGUCCACUUUGGCCUCUGAAAGCCCUUUUACAUUGCACAGUGCCCGUCUUGUGGUCAUCUGGAUUCCUUUGAUUGUGCAGAUCCCAACUGACUUCAGUUUUUUAAUAUCUGCUACGUUCUGUGAAGAAAGUUCCCUCCUUACGUCCAGUUUAAAACACACGUAUCCUCUAGAUCUGACCAACACUUUGGGCUGGAAUGAACUACUCGAGUUUUUUGUAAAUUGUGCACGGCAUGACUUCAAUCAGCGCCCUACUGACACAUUUUGCCUCCCCUCACCUCGUUUUAUGAUUCUGACGUCACUGGAAACUUAAAGGCAAGCAACAGAUUACUCAUAAGAAAACAUACUAUGUGAAAGAUGUGGGAUAAUACUUCAAUUUACCAUUUCCAGCCAAGAUUUUUCUCUGAAAAAAAACCUAUGAACUGCAUGUAUCAUCUAUUUAUCUAGAGCGUGUGGGUGCAUAGGACAUAAGAAGGGAGGGGGGUUAUGCAAGAAAUUAGUCAUGUUCAUUUGGAAGCUUAUUUCUCAUCCUAUGAUGUUUUUUGGUUAUUACAUUAACAGGGAUGGGUGAGGUAAAAUCAGUCACGAAUAAAAACGACUCUUCCACCCAAAAGAAUAUAGCAAUCAGCAAUAUAAAAAGGAUUGAGCUGUUUUACUGUGUUUUUCUAUCAAGACAACAGACUACUGCUGCAAAGAUCAUUUUUCUAGACCGAAACUUUAAAUGCAUUACCCUGCUUCUGCAUUUCUUCAGCGGCUCACAUCAAACUUAAGGCUGUUCUGCGUUACAAGUCUCUGUGUGGUAGACCUGGUUAUAGAAGUUCUUGUUCUCUCCUGCACAGAUACACCUUUCACCAACAGCUUAUGUACCAACCAAGAUCCUAGGAUUUGCGCCUCCUUAGACUAAAGUUGAACACUAUGACGUGUUGAGCAGUACUCCUGGCUUAACGCACUGACACGCCUGCCCACUUACACCAGCUCCGUGGCCUGAUCCUCUACCUUAUGUUGCAGCCCUGUCCCAGUUGUGUGCCUCUGAGGUGGAAAAGGGAGCAGACUGAGAACUUACAA